AACACUAUGCAUAUCAGUGCUGUGUUUCAAUAGGAAGGCAUGGUGAUCACACUCUCCCUCUCUCCCUCUCUGUCUCUUUCUCUCCUUCUCUCUCUCCCUUUCUUUUAUAGCAGAGCUAUGGGUGUAGGUGCCAGACAGACAGCUGUCAGGGCCAUGGGGGUAGGUGACAGACAGCUGUCAGGGCCAUGGGGGUAGGUGACAGACAGACAGCUGUCAGGGCCAUGGGGGUAGGUGACAGACAGACAGCUGUCAGAGCCAUGGGGGUAGGUGACAGACAGACAGCUGUCAGGGAUAUGGGGGUAGGUGCCAGACAGACAGCUGUCAGGGCCAUGGGGGUAGGUGCCAGACAGACAGCUGUCAGGACCAUGGGGGUAGGUGCCAGACAGACAGCUGUCAGGACCAUGCACACACACACACACGCUUAUGUCUCAGUUUUCUCCAUCAUUACACGAAUGCCAUUGCAGUCUAAUUGACCAUACGCUCUUAAACAAACCAAAUGUUGUUUUGAACAGUUGACAAAUGUUGUUUUGAACAGUUUCAAAUUCACUUGUAUUUUUGUCUCUCUCUGUCUCUCUCUCUCUCUCUCUCUCUGUCUCUCUCUCUCUCUCUCUCUCUCUCUCUCUCUCUCUCGCUCUCUCUCUCUCUCUCUCUCUCUGUCUCUCUCUCUCUCUCUCUCUCUGUCUCUCUCUCUCUCUGUCUGUCUCUCUCUCUCUCUGUCUCUCUCUCUCUCUCUCUCUCUCUCUGUCUCUCUCUCUCUCUGUCUCUCUCUGUCUCUGUCUCUUUCUCUCUCUCUCUUUCUUUGUCAUUCCUUCCUCAUGUGAUGACAAAGGGAAGAGAGGAGUAGAGGAAGAGAAAAGGAACAACAGAGCUCCAAAGAACAGGCAGUAGGCAAUUUACCUUGACGUAAACUGUAACUCUCACUUCUUCUGGAGUGAAAAACAGACUUGGAGUCUUGGAGAAAGUUGAGAGAAAACAAACUUUGCGACAGAUGUCAGAGGAGGAGCUCAGAGAAAUUGGUGUGUGUGUGUGUGUGUUUGUGUGUGUGUGCACAUGCUUGGUACCCAAUAUUUAGCCCCAUUGUUGAGAAUAUCUCUACGUUUACAUCAUCUUGAUUCAGACAUUCAACUGAAUAUCCACAACUAGCUUGUUUCUAGGACCCAAAAAAUGAUGUAUAUCCUAUUCGACUACAUUUUCCUGUUUUAUAAUUUAAAUAAAUCUACAACAUGGAAAUAAUAUCAUGCAAUGCCACCCAGUACAUAACUAUUUAAGUAAUAAGUCCAUCUGUAACUUUCUCUCAAUGUGGAACUGAACUGUGCUUUUCUUAGUCAGAUUUGUUUGGUUUCUAUGCAUUUUUGAUGAUAAUAUUCCAUAAUGACAGCUGCUCAGUAGGGUGUUGUCAGGCUCAUUACAAAAGACGCUGCCUCACAAACGGCACCCUAUUACCUACAUAGUGCAUUAUGGGCCCAGGUCCAAAGAAGUGCACUAUCUAGGGAAUUGGGUGCUGUUUGGGACACAGACAGAACAUGGAACCAGGCAGUGCUAAUCACUAAUCCCUCUUGGCCUGUUCUAAUGGUUCUAAUGCUUCAUUAAAACACGGUCUGACUGACUGACUGACUCAGAGAGAGAGAAGAGAGAGAGAGAGAGAAGAGAGAGAGAAGGAAGAGAGAGAGAAGAGAGAGAGAGAGAGAAGAGAGAGAGAAGGAAGAGAGAGAGAAGGAAGAGAGAGAGAAGGAAGAGAGAGAGAAGGAAGAGAGAGAAGGAAGAGAGAGAAGGAAGAGAGAGAAGGAAGAGAGAGAAGGAAGAGAGAGAAGGAAGAGAGAGAAGGAAGAGAGAGAAGGAAGAGAGAGAGAAGGAAGAGAGAGAGAGAAGAGAGAGAGAAGGAAGAGAGAGAGAAGGAAGAGAGAGAGAAGGAAGAGAGAGAGAAGGAAGAGAGAGAAGGAAGAGAGAGAAGGAAGAGAGAGAAGGAAGAGAGAGAAGGAAGAGAGAGAAGGAAGAGAGAGAGAAGGAAGAGAGAGAGAAGGAAGAGAGAGAGAAGGAAGAGAGAGAGAAGGAAGAGAGAGAGAAGGAAGAGAGAGAAGGAAGAGAGAGAAAGGAUGGAGGGAGGAAGGGGGGGGAAACUGAGAAUCAUCAGCCAAAAUUACACUCACUCUGUAGGCUAGUCUAUGAUUACUGUACAUGUAGGCUAGUCUGUGAUUAUCGUAAAUGUAGGCUAGUCUGUGAUUAUCGUAAAUAUAGGCUAGUCUAUGAUUACCUGGGGGGGGUUCUAAACUGAAAUAUGGAAUUGUUUUGAGAUGGUCAUACUAUGGAUCAUUUAGCUAUUUGAUUUAGAACUUUAGGACCCUUUAGGUAUGAAAAAUAAGCACAGUAAAACAUGAAUAAUAACAAACAAGGGUUGGAAGUGUCUGUCCUAAAUCUAGGAGAUAUAAAAAUAACUCAAUAAAUGAUGAUAUGUUUUUAACACAUAUUUAACCCCUUUUUUUGGGUAGGCACAAAACUACCUUCAUACUUCCGUUCGUUUUUUAAAACUGGUACCGGUUACCUUCAGACGAGUCCCACGAGACACAGAGAACACCAUUGUGUCAGAGCGAGUCUCCCCUUUUCUUUGAGUGGUCAUUAUUGUUUUAAGUCAAACAGUUCGGACGCUACAGAUGUUUUCAUCAUGGUCUGACAAACAUUUCUCUAGCUCUGCCACCUUUCACCACAGAUGCAGAAGUGCAACACCGGUUGAUGCGACGCAUCCAAUGAAAAACAAAAGGUGAUAUCUCUAGCUAAAACUGAAGGAUUUCAUAGGGAAUGUUUUGUUAUGUUACUUAAAUUGACACACCUGUGCGUCAAUCGACUCUAGGGGGUUAGCUGAAGAGAGGUUGCUAACUGCACAAUUAGCAUUAUGUAUAGAAACUCCAUGGAAGAUACAACAUUAUUGCUACAAGGUCAUUAAACAUUGCAACAUAACUAACUUAAUCCAUCUGUUACAGCCUUAUAAGAUCACUCACAAAUCUAUUGCUGAAGAAACCAACUCCACAAGAACAUAAUGUAAUGCUACAGUAUAUAGUGAAUACUCUCACUCAAAGGUCUGUAUUUUGUGAAGAGGUUGCGAAGGUACUGAAUACUUAGCAUAUUUUGUAUAUAAACUUCAUAGUACACGAUAGCUGUGUGAAAAAACACAGCAACACAAGUACCUCCUAUCCAACUGAUUACAUCCCACCUAAUAAUGUACACUCACUGCUCACACAAAUCAAAUGUAAUUGUAUUAAUUUUUUUAUUUAAAUUGGCAAGUCAGUAAAGAACAAAUUCUUAUUUAUACAAAUGCAGCAUGACCCAUAACUACAGAAAUGUAAUAUUACACUACAGUAAUGUAGUGUAAUAUGGUGUGGUAAUAUAGUGUAAUAUGGUGUGGUAAUGUAGUGUAAUAUGAUGUGGUAAUAUAGUGUAAUAUGGUGUGGUAAUAUAGUGUAAUAUGAUGUGGUAAUGUAGUGUAAUAUGGUGUGGUAAUGUAGUGUAAUAUGGUGUGGUAAUGUAGUGUAAUAUGGUGUGGUAAUGUAGUGUAAUAUGAUGUGGUAAUGUAGUGUAAUAUGGUGUGGUAAUGUAGUGUAAUAUGGUGUGGUAAUAUAGUGUAAUAUGAUGUGGUAAUAUAGUGUAAUAUGAUGUGGUAAUAUAGUGUAAUAUGGUGUGGUAACGUAGUGUAAUAUGGUGUGGUAACGUAGUGUAAUAUGGUGUGGUAAUAUAGUGUAAUAUGGUGUGGUAAUGUAGUGUAAUAUGAUGUGGUAAUGUAGUGUAAUAUGGGGUGGUAAUGUAGUGUAAUAUGGUGUGGUAAUAUAGUGUAAUAUGAUGUGGUAGUGUAAUAUGGCGUGGUAAUGUAGUGUAAUAUGGUGUGGUAAUAUAGUGUAAUAUGGUGUGGUAAUAUAGUGUAAUAUGGUGUGGUAAUAUAGUGUAAUAUGGUGUGGUAAUAUAGUGUAAUAUGGUGUGGUAAUGUUGUGUAAUAUGGUGUGGUAAUGUAGUGUAAUAUGGUGUGGUAAUGUAGUGUAAUAUGAUGUGGUAGUGUAAUGUAAUAUGGUGUGGUAAUACAGUGUAAUAUGAUGUGGUAAUGUAGUGUAAUAUGAUGUCGUAAUGUAGUGUAAUAUGGUGUGGUAAUGUAGUGUAAUAUGAUGUGGUAGUGUAAUGUAAUAUGAUGUGGUAGUGUAAUGUAAUAUGGUGUGGUAAUACAGUGUAAUAUGAUGUGGUAAUGUAGUGUAAUAUGGUGUGGUAAUAUAGUGUAAUAUGGUGUGGUAAUAUAGUGUAAUAUGGUGUGGUAAUGUAGUGUAAUAUGGUGUGGUAAUAUAGUGUAAUAUGGUGUGGUGAUGUAGUGUAAUAUGAUGUGGUAAUGUAGUGUAAUAUGGUGUGGUAACGUAGUGUAAUAUGGUGUGGUAAUAUAGUGUAAUAUGGUGUGGUAAUGUAGUGUAAUAUGGUGUGGUAAUGUAGUGUAAUAUGGUGUGGUAAUAUAGAGUAAUAUGGUGUGGUAAUGUAGUGUAAUAUGGUGUGGUAAUAUAGUGUAAUAUGGUGUGGUAGUGUAAUGUAAUAUGGUGUGAUAAUGUAGUGUAAUAUGAUGUGGUAAUAUAGUGUAAUAUGAUGUGGUAGUGUAAUGUAAAAUGGUGUGAUAAUGAAGUGUAAUAUGGUGUGGUAAUGUAGUGUAAUAUGAUGUGGUAGUGUAAUAUAAUAUGGUGUGGUAAUACAGUGUAAUAUGAUGUGGUAGUGUAAUGUAAUAUGGUGUGCUAAUAUAGUGUAAUAUGAUGUGGUAGUGUAAUGUAAUAUGGUGUGGUAAUGUAGUGUAAUAUGGUGUGCUAAUAUAGUGUAAUAUGAUGUGGUAGUGUAAUGUAAUAUGGUGUGGUAAUGUAGUGUAAUAUGGUGUGGUAAUAUAGUGUAAUAUGGUGUGGUAAUGUAGUGUACUAUGGUGUGGUAAUGUAGUGUAAUAUGGUGUGGUAAUAUAGUGUAAUAUGGUGUGGUAAUGUAGUGUAAUAUUAUGUGGUAGUGUAAUGUAAUAUGGUGUGAUAAUGUAGUGUAAUAUGGUGUGGUAAUAUAGUGUAAUAUGGUGUGGUAAUGUAGUGUAAUAUGGUGUGGUAAUGUAGUGUAAUAUGAUGUGGUAAUGUAGUGUAAUAUGGUGUGGUAAUAUAGUGUAAUAUGGUGUGGUAAUGUAGUGUAAUAUGGUGUGGUAAUAUAGUGUAAUAUGAUGUGGUAAUGUAGUGUAAUAUGGUGUGGUAAUGUAGUGUAAUAUGGUGUGGUAAUGUAGUGUAAUAUGGUGUGGUAAUGUAGUGUAAUAUGAUGUGGUAAUGUAGUGUAAUAUGGCGUGGUAAUGUAGUGUAAUAUGGUGUGGUAAUAUAGUGUAAUAUGAUGUGGUAGUGUAAUGUAAUAUGGUGUGGUAAUACAGUGUAAUAUGAUGUGGUAAUGUAGUGUAAUAUGAUGUGGUAAUGUAGUGUAAUAUGGUGUGGUAAUGUAGUGUAAUAUGAUGUGGUAGUGUAAUGUAAUAUGAUGUGGUAGUGUAAUGUAAUAUGGUGUGGUAAUACAGUGUAAUAUGAUGUGGUAAUGUAGUGUAAUAUGGUGUGGUAAUAUAGUGUAAUAUGGUGUGGUAAUAUAGUGUAAUAUGGUGUGGUAAUGUAGUGUAAUAUGGUGUGGUAAUAUAGUGUAAUAUGGUGUGGUGAUGUAGUGUAAUAUGAUGUGGUAGUGUAAUGUAAUAUGGUGUGAUAAUGUAGUGUAAUAUGGUGCGGUAAUAUAGUGUAAUAUGGUGUGGUAAUGUAGUGUAAUAUGUAGUGUAAUAUGAUGUGGUAAUGUAGUGUAAUAUGAUGUGGUAAUAUAGUGUAAUAUGGUGAGGUAAUGUAGUGUAAUAUGAUGUGGUAAUAUGAUGUGGUAAUAUAGUGUAAUAUGGUGUGGUAAUGUAGUGUAAUAUGGUGUGGUAAUGUAGUGUAAUAUGGUGUGGUAAUGUAGUGUAAUAUGAUGUGGUAAUGUAGUGUAAUAUGGGGUGGUAAUGUAGUGUAAUAUGGUGUGGUAAUGUAGUGUAAUAUGGUGUGGUAAUGUAGUGUAAUAUGAUGUAGUAGUGUAAUGUAAUAUGGUGUGGUAAUACAGUGUAAUAUGAUGUGGUAAUGUAGUCUAAUAUGAUGUGGUGACUUGGUAUUGCCUUCUAUAGUACUUAACUCUGGCUCUGUGCACACUCCCACGAUCUGGCUUCCAUUACACCCGCAUGCACCCGCACACCCACGCACAUACAGUGGGUUUUACAGUGAUGUUAUUGGAUUGAAGCAUGACGACCCCAGACCGAGCCCCAGCGCCCACUUGCACUUAUCAGCUGGCUGGCAGAUAGGAAUUUGCAUACUGGCUGUCGUGUGUGUGUGUGUGUGUGUGUGUGUGUGUGUGUGUGUGUGUGUGUGUGUGUGUGUGUGUGUGUGUGUGUGUGUGUGUGUGUGUGUGUGUGUGUGUGGUGCGCACGUGUGUGUGUGUGUGUGUGGUGACUGUCAUAAGCAAUAAGAACAGCUGCAAAGCCUCACAAUGGAUCUCAAACCCAUUCUCCAUGUCUGUCCGCCUCCAUGAAGACACACCUAUUAGACUUUGUAAACAGCCACGUGAUCGUUGAGUGUUAAACUCCAGAAGACCGUACUAGCUACAGUAGUUGGGGACAGGGAGAGAAUAGUGCCAUUGUAAUAAAACAACUAUGAAGCCAUGUUUGCAUGAGUCAAUGCAGGAGAUGAGCUUUCUAGAGGAGAACAUGAGGUGAGCGUUCUAGAGGAGAACAUGAGGUGAGCGUUCUAGAGUAGAACAUGAGGUGAGCGUUCUAGAGGAGAACAUGAGGUGAGCGCUCUAGAGGAGAGCAGGAGCUGGGAGUUCUAGAGGAGAACAGGAGCUGGGAGUUCUAGAGGAGAACAGGAGCUGGGAGUUCUAGAGGAGAACAGGAGCUGGGAGUUCUAGAGGAGAACAGGAGGUGAGAGUUCUAGAGGAGAACAGGAGGUGGGAGUUCUAGAGGAGAACAUGAGGUGGGAGUUCUAGAGGAGAACAUGAGGUGGGAGUUCUAGAGGAGAGCAGGAGGUGAGAGUUCUAGAGGAGAACAGGAGCUGGGAGUUCUAGAGGAGAGCAGGAGGUGAGAGUUCUAGAGGAGAGCAGGAGGUGAGAGUUCUAGAGGAGAACAGGAGCUGGGAGUUCUAGAGGAGAACAGGAGGUGAGAGUUCUAGAGGAGAACAUGAGGUGAGAGUUCUAGUGGGGGGCAGGAGGUGAGAGUUCUAGAGGAGAGCAGGAGGUGAGAAUUCUAGAGAAGAGCAGGAGGUGAGAGUUCUAGAGGAGACAAGACAAUAAAGAGAGAGAUGAGGGGAUGGUAAAGAAAAUAUACCACUUUGGAAUAAGACAGUGAAAUAUAUUCAAAGGGGUAAUGAAUCAGUAGUUCUAAAAAGAUUCACAGGCAGCUGAUGUAAUUGCAUCAAGCAAAUUAUUUCAGACCAUAUUCAGUGCACUGUAAAUGCGCUUCAGGAAUCUCACCCUGUAAUUUUAUAUAGAAAAGUUGCAUUCUAUACUGCACUUUAAAGAGUUUAGAAUUACAGUACUUUAAUCUAACAAACAGAACAAGCUGUCUUUUUCUCACUCUAGUUAUUCUCUACAGGGGCGCCGGUCUAACAAGCAGUCAGAAGCCUGACAUUCCUACAAAGGAAAUAAUGAGUCUGAGUUUGACAUUAAUGUGUUCUAGAACGCAGCUCUGAUUAUCACCUGUUGUUCUGGUCCUAUUCUUCUGGUCUACAGUGUUCUGUUCUGUUAUGUUCUGUCAGGGAGGGAGCUGGUGGGUGGCAUGGAUAUAAUCACUUGGUUUCAACUUUCUUUCUUUCCUUUCUUUUUUAAAAUAUCUUUCUCUCUCUCCCUCCUCUCCAUCUCCCCCUCUCUCAUUCUCUCUCUCUCUCUCUCUCUCUCUCUCUCUCUCUCUCUCUCUCUCUCUCUCUCUCUCUCUCUCUCUCUCUCUCUCUCUCUCUCUCUCUCUCACUCCCUAUUUCAAUCCCUUGCUCCUUUAAUUUAAAUCUAUCUUUCUUGUUCUCUGAUUAUGGCCCUUUCACUAAACGCCCCCGGUAUGGCCCGGCUCACCAGGCUCCAGCCCCAACGGGGAAAUAACGAUGUUUUAACAAACGGAUAAGGCUCAGAUCGCCCUUGGACGCUUCCGGCCAUUUAAUAUCUCACAGAGUACAAAGAGCAGGAGACAAAAGGUGAGAGUGAGAGUGAAAGAGAGAGAGCGAGAGAGAGAGAGAGACAGAAAGGGAGGGAGGGAGAAGGAGAGAGAGAGACAGACAGAGAGGGAGGGAAGGAGGGAGGAGAGGGAGAGAGACACCAGGCUUUUUUCCCCAAAAAGUUGUUUGCAAUAUCAUUAAUUUCUCUAAAAGAGGGAGAGAGAGAGAGCAAUAGAGAGAUAGAAAAGAGAGAUAGAGAGAGAUCUCCAAAGGACAGACUCAUUCAUGUGCAUAUGACAUUAUUCCUCUAGAGCCCCAUCACUAAUCCUCUAGAGCCCCAUCACUAUUCCUCUAGGGCCCCAUCCCUAUUCAUCUAGGGCCCCAUCACUCUUUCUCUAGAGCCCCCAUCACUAUUCCUCUAGAGCCCCCAUCACUAAUCCUCUUGAGCCCCCAUCACUAUUCCUCUAGAGCCCCAUCACUAUUCAUCUAGGGCCCCAUCACUCUUUCUCUAGAGCCCCCAUCACUAUUCCUCUAGAGCCCCCAUCACUAUUCCUCUUGAGCCCCCAUCACUAUUCCUCUAGAGCCCCAUCACUAAUCCUCUAGAGCCCCAUCAUUAUUCCUCUAGUGCCCCCAUCACUAUUCCUCUAGAGCCCCCAUCACUAUUCCUCUAGAGCCCCAUCACUCUUUCUCUAGAGCCCCCAUUACUAAUCCUCUAGAGCCCCAUCACUAUUCCUCUAGAGCCCCCAUCACUAUUCCUCUAGAGCCCCAUCACUCUUUCUCUAGAGCCCCCAUUACUAAUCCUCUAGAGCCCCAUCACUAUUCCUCUAGAGCCCCCAUCACUAUUCCUCUAGAGCCCCAUCACUAAUAUUCUAGAGCCCCAUCACUAUUCCUCUAGAGCCCCAUCACUAUUCCUCUAGAGCCCCAUCACUAUUCUUCUAGUGCCCCAUCACUUUUCCUCUAGAGCCCAUCACCAUUUCUCUCAAUCAUUCUUCCACAUCCUCUUUUUGUCUCUCUCUUACUCCAGUGUAUCCCUUUCUCUUCCGAUCAUUGCUGAACCAUCACCUCUCUCUCUCUUUGUCUCUCUCUCUCUCUCCCUCCCUCUCACCACCUCCUUUUUAUUAUCCUCUCUAUCCCUAAGUCUCUCUCUCCCUACCUCUCACCCCCCUCUUUAUUAACCUCUCUAUCCCUUUAUUCUGUUAGUGUAAACACCUUAGGUGACUCUCUGUUCAUAUUUCAACUUAACCUUAAUGUAACAAGUACUUUUGGGUGUCAGGGAAAAUGUGUGGAGAAAAAAUAGCAUUACUUGCUUUAGGAAUGUAGUGAAGUAAAAGUAAAGUACAGAUAACCCCAAAAACGACUUUAGUAGCAAAAGUGUUUAUACGUAAGUUAAUUACACCACUGACCAUAGGCUACAGUAUGUAGAUUAAAGACAGAGAGGACUAGUUAAGCGUACUUCUGAGACCCUCAGGUUCUCUUGUCUCCCUACGGACCUAGCUCUCCCUUCCUCUCCUUCUCCCUCUCCAUCCAGUUCUCCUUCCUCUCUCCCUUCCUCUCCUUCUCCCUCUCCAUCCAGUUCUCCUUCCUCUCUCCCUUCCUCUCCUUCUCCCUCUCCAUCCAGUCCUCCCUUCCUCUCCUUCUCCCUCUCCAUCCAGUUCUCCUUCCUCUCUCCCUUCCUCUCCUUCUCCCUGUCCAUCCAGUCCUCCCUUCCUCUCCUUCUCCCUCUCCAUCCAGUCCUCCCUUCCUCUCCUUCUCCCUCUCCAUCCAGUUCUCCUUCCUCUCUCCCUUCCUCUCCUUCUCCCUCUCCAUCCAGUCCUCCCUUCCUCUCCUUCUCCCUCUCCAUCCAGUUCUCCUUCCUCUCUCCCUUCCUCUCCUUCUCCCUCUCCAUCCAGUCCUCCCUUCCUCUCCUUCUCCCUCUCCAUCCAGUUCUCCUUCCUCUCUCCCCCUCUCCUUCUCCCUCUCCAUCCAGUUCUCCCUUCCUCUCCUUCUCCCUCUCCAUCUAGUUCUCCCUUCCUCUCUCCCCCUCUCCCUCUCCUUCUCCCUCUCCAUCCAGUUCUCCUUCCUCUCUUUCUCCCUCUCCAUUUAGUUCUCCCUUCCUCUCUCCCCCUCUCCUUCUCCCUCUCCAUAUCGCUCUCCCUUCCUCUCCUUCUCCCUCUCCAUCUAGUUCUCCCUUCCUCUCCUUCUCCCUCUCCAUAUUGCUCUCCCUUCCUCUCCUUCUCCCUCUCCAUAUCGCUCUCCCUUCCUCUCUCCCCCUCUCCUUCUCCCUCUCCAUAUCGCUCUCCCUUCCUCUCUCCCCCUCUCCUUCUCCCUGUCCUCUCUACCUCUCUCUCUCCUAACCAACCAGCAAACCAAUAAAAUGACCAGAACAUUAGCUAAGAUUUACAUUAAGUUCUAGUAAGGGUUUUAUCCAACAUUUUGAUCUUAACAUCACAAAAACAUUAAAAUUAUAUAUUUGAUAUACUGUGUAUAUACUGUGUAUAUACACUAACUGGAAACCUAAUGAGAAAUUU
rnacentral:lncRNA from 1 species